GACGAACGCUGGCGGCGUGCUUAACACAUGCAAGUCGAACGGUGAAGGGACCGGUUUUUGCUGGUUCUGGAUGAGUGGCGAACGGGUGAGUAACACGUGAGUAACCUGCCCCCUUCUUCUGGAUAACCGCAUGAAAGUGUGGCUAAUACGGGAUAUUCUGCGCCUGCUGCAUGGUGGGUGUGGGAAAGAUAUUGUUUCGGUGGGGGGUGGGCUCGCGGCCUAUCAGCUUGUUGGUGGGGUGAUGGCCUACCAAGGCGGUGACGGGUAGCCGGCCUGAGAGGGUGGACGGUCACACUGGGACGGCGACACGGCCCAGACUCCUACGGGAGGCAGCAGUGGGGAAUAUUGCACAAUGGGCGCAAGCCUGAUGCAGCGACGCCGCGGGAGGGAUGGAGGCCUUCGGGUUGUAAACCUCUUUCGCCAGUGAAGCAGGCCUGUCCCUUUUGUGGGUGGGUUGACGGUAGCUGGAUAAGAAGCGCCGGCUAACUACGUG
rnacentral:rRNA from 1 species